AUUGAACGCUGGCGGCAUGCCUUACACAUGCAAGUCGAACGGCAGCACGGGAGCAAUCCUGGUGGCGAGUGGCGAACGGGUGAGUAAUAUAUCGGAACGUGCCCAGUCGUGGGGGAUAACUACUCGAAAGAGUAGCUAAUACCGCAUACGAUCUACGGAUGAAAGCGGGGGAUCGCAAGACCUCGCGCGAUUGGAGCGGCCGAUAUCAGAUUAGGUAGUUGGUAGGGUAAAAGCCUACCAAGCCUGCGAUCUGUAGCUGGUCUGAGAGGACGACCAGCCACACUGGAACUGGGACACGGUCCAGACUCCUACGGGAGGCAGCAGUGGGGAAUUUUGGACAAUGGGCGCAAGCCUGAUCCAGCAAUGCCGCGUGCAGGACGAAGGCCUUCGGGUUGUAAACUGCUUUUGUACGGAGCGAAAAGGUCUCUACUAAUACUAGGGGCUCAUGACGGUACCGUAAGAAUAAGCACCGGCUAACUACGUGCCAGCAGCCGCAGUAA
rnacentral:rRNA from 1 species